rnacentral:lncRNA from 1 species
GUAGUCACAUAGAUCAAUUUUAUUGACUUAGUAAUAGAGAAAACAGAGAGUAUCGGAAGCAUGCAAAGGGUCAACUAAAAGGCCCUUCUGAAAAAGUAUAGUUAAGUUUCAAUGAUAGCAAGAAACCAAAAUCACAUAAAGAAACGGAUGCUGAAACAAAAGGAUUUCAAAUGAAGUCGAGGAACUUCAAACAGAAGGAUUGCACAAGCAUUUUCAGAAACUCGAAUAGACCCCAAAGAAAUUUUGAAACCAAUCAAGUCUAAAGAUGAUGAACAAGCAAAUCAAACAAAUAAGUAGUCCCAGG